GGUUCCAUGGCUCAUUUGGUUAGAGCGUGGUGCUAAUAACGCCAGGGUCGGGAGUUCGACCCUCUCUGGAACCA
rnacentral:tRNA from 1 species